rnacentral:misc_RNA from 1 species
UCCGAGUUGUCCCCGGCAGUCUCUUAUGAGUCCCCGGCAUAACCCGCUGGUAACAUAAGACAAGGGUUGCGCUCGUUGCGGGACUUAACCCAACAUCUCACGACACGAGCUGACGACAGCCAUGCACCACCUGUCAUGGGCCCUUUCGGACACCGUAUUUCUACGGCUUUCCCGACCAUGUCAAGCCUUGGUAAGGUUCUUCGCGUUGCGUCGAAUUAAACCACAUGCUCCGCUGCUUGUGCGGGCCCCCGUCAAUUCCAUUGAGUUUUAGCCUUGCGGCCGUACUCCCCAGGCGGGGCGCUUAAUGCGUUAGCUACGGCACGGAUCCCGUGGAAGGAAACCCACACCUAGCGCCCACCGUUUACGGCGUGGACUAC